rnacentral:rRNA from 1 species
GACGAACGCUGGCGGCGUGCCUAAUACAUGCAAGUUGAGCGCUGAAGGUUGGUACUUGUACCCACUGGAUGAGCAGCGAACGGGUGAGUAACGCGUGGGGAAUCUGCCUUUGAGCGGGGGACAACAUUUGGAAACGAAUGCUAAUACCGCAUAAAAACUUUAAACACAAGUUUUAAGUUUGAAAGAUGCAAUUGCAUCACUCAAAGAAGAUCCGGAGUUGUAUUAGCUAGUUGGGGAGGUAAAGGCUCACCAAGGCGAGUAUACAUAGCCGACCUGAGAGGGUGAGCGGCCAAAUUGGGAAUGGGACACGGCCCAAACUCCUAAGGGAGGCAGCAGUAGGGAAUCUUCGGCCAUGGACGAAAGUCUGACCGAGCAACGCCGCGUGAGUGAAGAAGGUUUUCGGAUCGUAAAACUCUGUUGGUAGAGAAGAACGUUGGUGAGAGUGGAAAGCUCAUCAAGUGACGGUAACUACCCAGAAAGGGACGGCUAACUACGUG